CGCGCUUAGGAUGCUGGCAUAAUGGCUUUAAGCGACCCGUCUUGAAACACGGACCAAGGAGUCUAACAUGCACGCGAGUGUUCGGGUGGAAAACCCGGACGCAGAAUGAAAGUGAACGUUGAGAGCCUCCGCAAGGGGGUGCACCGACGCCCGGCCCUGAAGUUCUCUGACGGUGCUGCGGUAGAGCGUGUAUGUUGGGACCCGAAAGAUGGUGAACUAUGCCUGAAUAGGGCGAAGCCAGAGGAAACUCUGGUGGAGGCUCGUAGCGAUUCUGACGUGCAAAUCGAUCGUCAAAUUUGGGUAUAGGGG
rnacentral:rRNA from 1 species